rnacentral:rRNA from 1 species
CCCUUAGAUGUUCUGGGCCGCACGCGUGCUACACUGAGUGGAUCAGCGGGUCAGGUUGCGCGAAAGUGUUUCCUAAUCUUUAAAUCCGCUCGUGAUGGGGAUUGACGGUUGCAAUUUUCCGUCAUGAACGAGGAAUACCUUGUAAGCGCGGGUCAUCAUCCCGCGCUGAAUACGUCCCUGCCCUUUGUACACACCGCCCGUCGCUCCUACCGAUUGAGUGGUCCGGUGAGGCUUUGGGAUCUGAGCGGAAAGAGCGUUUCGCUGUUUCUGCCCGGAAAACUCAGUCGAACCUCAUCAUUUAGAGGAAGGAGAAGUCGUAACA